AAUGCACGCUCAACAGCUCACGUGAGGCCCUUUUGGAAAAACAAGUUCAGGCCAAAUUAGUUUUAACCCAAAUGGCUUCCUCAUAUACUCCACUAUAUCCUAUUGUUUGUCAUCUAUUUAUCAUCACCUUUUGAAACAUAUGUCACAUAUGUUUUGCUUUCUCCCCCUCCCACAUUAUCUUGCAGGAUACUUCUCUAGAAUACGCGAAUCAAAUGCUAAAUCUCACCCAAGAUGAAAUAACAGCAACAGAGAAACUAAAUUUGCCAUUUGGGAGGCCCAGGGUUAUGCAGAAGAACAAGGAACACUGUCUCCUUUAUCAUAGGGAAUACGUCAGUGGAUUUGGAAAAGACAUCAGGAUGCCCCUUUGGAGCUCAUACACAGUUCCCAAUCCGGGUACAGAUGUUCCUCUUUUUGUGGAAAGGAAGUGAUUGGCUGUAUCCAGAUUAUUUACUCUUGUUCCAGUUCAAGAUUUCUGGAGAAAAAUAAGCACAUUUUCCCA